rnacentral:rRNA from 1 species
GACAUAGGUCGCGAACGUUAUCCGGAAUUAUUGGGCGUAAAGGAUGCGUAGAUGGUUCAGCAAGUUGCUGGUGGGAAAUCGAGGCCUAACCUCGUGGAAGUUAGUAAUACUGUUGAACUUGAGUGCAGGAGAGGUUAACGGAACUUCAUGUGGAGCGGUAAAAUGCAUAGAUAUAUGAAAGAACAUCAAUAUAGCGAAGGCAGUUAACUAUUCUGCUACUGACAUUGAGGCAUGAAAGCGUGGGGAGCAAAACGG